AUAUUCAUAUAUGAAUGACAAGAAGAUUAUACUUAUGCAAUCAAUUGGUCUGCAAAUCAACAUCUCCCGUAUUAUUGGGCUGAAUUGUUACUAUUGUCAUUUAUGUCCGUUUAAAAACGUUUCAUCAUAUUAGCGAGUGAGUGCCCUUACCGAUCAUUGGUACAUUUAUAUAAAUGAGCUUCAAGCAAACUUCAGGUUGUCACUCGAAUUCUUCCUUGCAAAUGGAGUCAAUAAAUUUUGAUGACUUUACAAGUCAUCUCAAAUAACCACAAAUCAACGGCAAACCAAUAUAUAAUAAUAAAAAAAACUCUAAUAAUAAAUCAAUGUAAGGAUAAUUUAAUACUCAAUUGUCUUAAUAGUUCCUCAAAAUAAUAAUUUCAAUAACAGUUUGCAAGUGAGCAUUCAAAUAACAACAAGACAAU
rnacentral:lncRNA from 1 species